GCAGAAGUCCGACAGGGGGGUGUCGUUCUUCAGCUCCAGGCAGAUCUUGCCGCCAUUCGCCUGGUCCUUGCUCCAGUUCAGGGGGGUAGCCUUAACGGUCUGCUCGUCCACAGCGCCCCAGGUGGCGGACAGCCACUUGCCGGUGCCGGUCUUGGGCUGCACGUACACGCCGGUGAUGGCGCGGCGCUUCUUGUCGUCGGCGUAGAACUCGGCCUUGAGCAGGCUGGUGCUCCGGCCGCAGGGGCUGGUGGCGCUGUUGGGGGUCACCAGGGUGAUGCUGAAGCAGUAAGCAGUGGUGUCCUUGGUGCGGCCGGCCAUGCUCGACAUCGCGGGCGCAAUGGCGAAGGGGGUGGCGCCGGGAGUGGUGACGCACUGGCACUUGGGGAAGUCGGGGGUCUGCAGGGCGCAGGCGGCCGAGGCCUGGGCGUUGAUGCACGACUGGGGCAGGCCGGCGACGGCGUCGCCCAUGCCGCCAACAGAGACGACCACGGUGUAUCCGGCCAGGGCGGGGCGGCAGCCCUGAGUCACCAUGUCCAGCCAGAAGUUGAUCUGGGUGUCAACGAAGCUCUGCAGCUUGGCGCCCUCCUCGUUGGAGAAGAAGGUGGCGCACACCAUCACCAGGUUGCCGGCGCAGCUGGUGGACCCAGGGGUCACGGUCACGCCGAGGUCGGAGGCCUGGGUGGCCACGUCGUCCUGAAUGGUGGCGAUGUAGCCCUGGCACUCGUCGUUGCUGAUGGAGUAGGGGAACAGAACGCGGCUGGCGUCGCUAACGGUCAGCGAGAUGUAGACGCAAACCUGGCAAGGAGGAGGGGGGCUGGGGGGAGGAGGGCUCGGGAUGCCGGGCGUGGAGAUAGGGCAGCAGUCGUUCUGGCUGUCGAACAGCGCAGCCGAGCACACACCCUUGGGCAGGCCAGGGGGAGGAAUGCACAGCUCCUCAAGGGUGGUGCAGCCCUUGCCGUUCUUGUUCAUCGACAGGGUGAUGCAAAUCUCAGCACCGUCGCUGGCCAGGCCCAGGCCCAGCUGGGUCAGGACCAGGGUGGUCGAGCCAACGGGGCCAUCGGUGGGCUCGUGGAACGAGACACCGACCUUGGUGGGCACGCCGUUGAUGGUGGCCUUCACCACCUCGCCGAAGACGUCGCACGCCUCGUAGACGUUGAACUGUGUACAUCAAAAUGAGGAACAAACUCAGAGAACUUCUUGAAAAAAGAACUCACACUGUGGGUUGCUGGCUGCUGCGACUUUGAAACCGCGACCCGAUGCGCCGACAACCCACCUCGAUCUUCUUGAGGUCUGCCUUGGAGCAGCAGUAAUCGGUGCAGCCAGCCGGCACCUUGGCGCUCAGCUUGAAGCAGUACUGGUUGUUGCCCUUGGCAACGACAACAUCACCCAGCUUGUAGGCCGAGGGAGACUUCUUGCACUGGCAGUAAGGGAACGAGGUGUACAAGCCCGACUGAGCACCCUGGGCGGCCCUGCAGAUUCAGAACGAAGGGCACACGCGGCACGGAGUUACUGCCAGCGGAGCAAGCGGAGUCUCGGCGACGGGAUAGCCUGCUUGCAACUUGCUGUCAAAUCCGGUGGUGGCGCUACGAUCACUGUUACGCUAUGCUGAAAUCAUGAAAAUAGCCCGAGCAUGCUGUAAGAGCGCCGGUUGCAAGAAGGCCGACCGCAUUCAAGCUGCGCAGCGGACCCACACGACCACUAUUUACGCCGUGAGCGUAAAUGAUUAUCUUUGACUAGAGUCAGCGAUGCUCGUCUAUUCUACAACUCAGGAGCUUCCCGAAGCGACAAAUCUGUGAAACGCGCGGUCUUGCUACUCACGCAAUUGCGGCCGCGAAAAGAACGGAGACUAGAAUGCUGCACCUCAUUGUCACAGAGGUGGUUCAGCUAUAAAGAAAUUGUGAGGCACGCGGGCUUAUCAUGGGGGGCCCGGCUGGUCGAACGAGUCGUACGCCCGCCAUUAACCGCGGGCGCGUUAGUUUGGCGUGCGAUGCAAUCAUUCAUGCAACCGCGCCACUUCGACAGUGCCGGAAACAACUUUUAUUUUUGUGGGUAUGCAUCCGGCUAUUCGGUAGGACAGCAGCUGCGUUACGCUCAAACUCGGGCAAACAAUUGGGCUAGCGGCGUGAGCUUGCACCUCACAACUAUCAUCACACAAGUUAUUUAGAUACUGGCCUACCUUGGGCCAUCUCCAAAACUGCCUGUCCAGCCCGGGAGCGGCGGAGCUGUUUCGCCCGCGGUUUGGAGUGGCUUUACUCGUGCCGACGCAAGUCCUUGAUUUUUGCAUUAUAAAAAAAUUAUAGAGUACAGCUAUAGCAACCAACUUGGCAAUGGAGCUGCUGGCAUGGUCCAAACGCGGGAAGCUGGCGCCUUCUAGGCUCUUUGGAGCCCUGUCGGCUUCACAAGUGGCUGAUGCUCAAGUUGUGCAUCGCUUUGGCCGGACAAAUGUCUCCUAGUAACCCGGUUCACAAGCGAAGCGUGAAACGAAAGCAAAGGAUGCUGCGCGCCGGAAGCGAAACGUUCGAUGCACCUAAUUGGGCGCCAAGCGCGGAACCUUGCAGUCUCAGAUGCGUGUGUGCAUGGAAGGAGAAGGCUGGCGGAGGCGAGAGGAGCGGGGGCAGGGAUUGGCUUUCGUGGGGGGGGCGGGGCAAGUGGCGCGGGCGGGGCUGGGGGGGCGAAGAACGGUGAAGACCGGUGCGAUGGCACAGGGUAAGGGGCAGGUUGGCGUAGUCCCGAGUCCCGAGAAACAACUUACGCCCAACCCAGGCGCCAAUGAAACAGGUGAAGAGCUUGAGGACCCCCCUCCCGCUGUCCGGGCCUUACACACAAGCAGGCCAAGUGCGGGGGGAGCCGUAGCGCACACCAUAUACCGUACUGUCACUGUGCUCGAUUUCGUCGCUAGUGACGCCCCUGCUGGCUAGGGUAGCAAGGGUAAUGGGGGUGAACGAGCCGGUUGCUUAGGCUGUGCCAGCUUUCCCCGGGUUUCAUUGGGGUCACACACUUCACUGAUGCACAACUUUCAGAGCCAGGGGGCUGCAUCCUCCGGCAAGCAGACGCCAGGAGGGUGUCCCUGGCCGCAUGCGCUGGGUCCUGGAGUCUACGGUACGCGUUGCCGCACGCGUCGGUUGGCCAUCCAUUCCCCAUCCUUAGACACAAUGACUGUGUCAUGUGUGCACGUUGCGCUUUAGGCUCGGCCAGCGGCACCCUGGGUUGGGUGUGUGAUGGGUUGGGUCUCGGUUUGAGAGGUGUGACCCUUGCAGAAAGCAGGACUCUCCACACUCCCCUCCCGUGCUGUGCAUGUAUGUUCCUGCAUGCACGUGUGUGUAUGAAGUGAAUGGCUCAGCCAACGGCUGUGUGUGCAUGUGGCCCGCGUAAAAUGCAAUUUACCAGUGAUGGGCACUUCUAUCAGGGAGGGGUAGGAAACAAAGUGCCAGACCCCAUGCCCCGAAAUCCCCCGGGACCCCCCUUGAGGGGACGACCGACCCCCCGACGGACAAAACCUUGUUGUUCAGCGGUUAAAACCCCUCCAUUUAAUACCAAAGUAGUGUCAAUCGACUCCUCUUGACGAGCACUAUCACUCCGUGCCAUCAGCGGUCCUGUUCUGAGACUUCGGUCACGGGCGGGAUCCUAUCCAUGGAAAUCCCCUCGACCCAGACCACCCCGCGCUCAACUCUUUGCCGCGUGACGAAUGGACAAUGUGCAUCGGCAGCCUUGUUAGACGUGAACUCAUGCGCAUCAGCGCUUCAGAGCCCAGCUGUGUCAGUGCGCAUAUGUUGAAUGUGGAGACAUGUCCCGACAUGUCCACGUCCGGACGCGCAACUUAGCCCUCCCACGCUUUGUUUGUGCUUAUUACGUCAUAACGUACACAUAUGAGCCUCGCACUGCUGCGUUUGGCCCCUAGUUCUGCUUGUGGGGCGCUUCCCGAAAUCCGCCAGGAUGGGCUCCCGAAACCCGACGGACCCCCAGGGACGAGGACCGACCCCCAACUUUGGCGGCCCAGAACUUCCUCACCAGACCCCCCUUUAAAAAACUAAAAGUACGUGCAUAAUGCUCUCCUGAAGCUCUCUAAUAUUGAGCAUGGGGUAAGAACCUGAGCUUUCUAACCCCCCCCUGCCAUGGCGGCCACAAUGCCAAGAUGCUACCUGGCGGCGCCACGCACAGCAGAGCCCUGUGCUCCGCAAGGAUGCACACGUGCACACACGCACACACAUGUGCGAACACACGUGCACCUGCCCUCCAUGCCACUCGCCCCGCCCCUUCCCCCUUCCCUCACCUCAGUUAUGGCUGACUGGAUGCGGUUGAUCUCAAACAGCCGGCUGCGCCCCUCCUGGGAGCCGCCGCCGCCGCCGCCAGACAGGAGGUCUGGAGUGCGUGUGAGGAAGGGGAGGGGGGGGAUGUGCCCGAGCCCGAGGUCUCAAGCGUCAAGGAAUUGUUUCCAAACCAGGGGGAGGAAGCGGUAGGGGGGCGCGAAGUGUGAUGUUUGUCGGGGUAAGGUGUGAGGCAUUGGGCAUGGAGCGUAAGGCGGGCAUCAAGGCGGGUAGGGUGUCGGCCUGUGCGCUGUCACCCAAGCCACGGGCGCACCGUUAGCACGCACGCACGCGCACACGCUCACACUACGCACCUGCGGCCGCCUCCUGCCCCUUGCUGGUGGCGCCGCUCCCGCCGCCGCCCCCACCUGCACCCCCAGCAGCCGCCCCGCCCGGCACCGGAGCGCUCACCACCACCUGCGCCUCCGCCGCACCCUCCACCGCUGACUCUGCUCCUGCUCCCCCUCCUGCUGCGGAUGCUUCCGCUGGUAGCUGCACCACUGGCGUGUGCCGUGGAUGCGGUGGGUGCGGCGCCGCCAAGCCAGUCACCGCCGCCACCACCGGCGCCAGCGCCGCCGCCACGGCAGCCGCCGGCUCCCCUCCCGAAAUCCGCCAGACACCCCCUUAAAAAGUUAAAAGUACGUGCAUAAUGCUCUCCUAAAGCUCUGUAAUUUUGAGCAUGGGGUAAGAAACUGAGCUUUCUACCCCCCCCCUGCUUCUAUCAACCGGUUGUGCUUUCGGGGUUACAUGGAAGAGAUUAGGCUGGUGGGGCACAGUGGUGCACGGUGACAGAGACAGCCUUUCUUCCCUGUCUGGGUCAGGGGACAGGUUGUGCCGCCCUCGAGUCCGAAUCAAAUCGUUCUUUGCAGCAUCCCUCUUCAGGAUGCUGAGUGGAGUUGGUGUCGGUAGUAAAGGCCAAGCCCAACGCCCAUUGCGGCAGGGCCCAGGUGUGGGCGGAACGCCCGCCAAGAUGAGACACGAUGAGAGGCACGGCCGAUCGCGCCGAGUUAAGCCAUCACCACGCCCAGUGUUCCGGCCGGUUGUAACAGAUCAACUGUUACGAUCCCUGUUCGAGACAGGGCUGGGCCCUAACUUAUGCCUCUUACGAGUCUUCUAGUGAAUACGCGGUCACCCAAGUCUCAUCCGUUGGACAUCUCCAACCCCUUGCCAGGCUCUACAGUGAGUUAUGUCCGGGGUGGGCUAGGUACUGCUACCCCAGGGGAGAGCCUUCCCUGGCAGAGCCCAGGCCCUGCCGUAUUCCUUACCGGGUCGCACACCCACCGAAGUACCGAACCACGCGUCACGGUCUGGGAAUCAGCUGCACCCUACGGGACUUCACCAACCUGCCUUAACACUGUCCCAUACCACGCGUUACGUUUCUCCACGAUCCGCGGAACGGCGGAAACACGUAUUGACAUGUGUACACCCGCAAGGAGACCGCGGGUGGGUGAGAAUACUGCGCCUGCGCCUGAGAGCCCCGGGGCAAGCUGUCUCAUCCCCGAACGUAGAACUCAUAGAGUGCAGUCUGUGCAAAAGGGAAAGCGAGAUGCAAAGGACGAAGCAGGAGUCGUGUGACGCGUUAGCGUGGAUAAACGCCUGGCGGAUGAGAUCGGACAUGGCAACUUGGAAAUGGGCAGGUUGGUGUUAGUCCUGUGGACCUGAUAUACCCGAGCCGGUUGAGGGCCUCAUGUGCAAAACCGCCAGCGCCGGUCUGCUGGCCUUAUCUGGGUACACGCAGUACCGGUGCGGUAGCUGACGAUGCCAGCGUUAUUGACGAGUGUUGCGGAACUAAUGCGUACGUAGACCAGAGCGGAAGGCGGAGUGGGCUUGCAGGCGGCACGAGAGUAGGCAGUCAGUAGCGCAAGUUGCGAAUUCACAUGUUACCUCGUAACCGACGGUAAACGCUGCGGACGGUCGCGCCCAUGGCUGGCUGACGGAAGGUGGCUGCUGUAUUGGGAUGGCUGGGCUGGACGACGCCGGCCGGGCUGGCGUGCACGAUGUGCACAAACCGUUCCGCCUGCAGAUUGCAGAAAGCCCUGACGCCAGCUGCGCAUCCUGACGGAUGACACGUUGGGGGCUGUCACUCAGCUGCUGACUCGGGACCACCGUGCUGUCCCCUGCCGCAGUUACCGCCGCAGCCUGGCUGGCAUUCAACUUAUGUUGAAAAUUAUAUCAAUAUGACGCGUUCGUACUGUGCCCCCAAACCGGUUUACAGGGGCAACAGGCAAUAGCCCUGCGCACAAACUCCUGCUUCUCACCAGAGCUUUCGCCGUUAUGCACGGCCACGGGAACAAUGGUCCCGGCCAACCACAUCUAUGAACCGUGUCCGUUAGCCUCUCCUGAGGCUUGUAACCGGAACGCGGCUCCGCUGAUUGCAGUCCCAGGAUGACGCUAACCUAAGCAAACAGUCAAUGCGCAUGAUCAUUUACACACACGAGUGCUCUUAUGUACUGCCCAUAUUAAACACAGUCGAGUUGUGGAUCAGUUGCACGAUUCACCGCGCCAGCCCUCGCGGCGGUGCUUCACGCAAUCCGCAUUCAGCUGGUGGCGAGUCGCCAAGCCGCCCCCAACAAAACCCGCACCGCACCAAGUGCCAUGCCGUUUAGACACACGCGCACAACACUAAUCCUGCGAGGCAGUGAUCUCAUCUGUCACUUUGUCAACUACCCAAUCAAGCCAUUUUUCCGAACCCAAUUCAAAACACGCGCCCACGGGCGAAGCUGUGCGCCGUGGCUGUAGCGGCUGCUGCCUCUGCUGCCAACGCCUCACAAAAUCCACCCGUGGCCGUCUGCCACAUAAGCUCCAGCGGUCACCAGCUAUGCUCCGUGCCAGCUCGCGAUAUUGCCAGGCCGUGUGGCCGCAGCAGCUGUUUGCACAGCUGCCGCGAAGCAAGUCCGCUGCCACAAGAACUCAAACAGGGUGGGUCAGCCGCGCGGCUUCCAAGCGGCUUCCACCUUGUGUGUAUGGACACGCGACGCCUCGGCUGCUGCGGGCUGUGCCAUUUACGGCAGGCUCGCCUGGUACAGCGGGCAGCUGCGGGCAAGACACGGGAGGGGUGAGGAAUGGCGGUCAGAUACGUGACAACGUCGAGGCAGAUGUCCGCGGGGAAGUCCGUGGGCGAAGCCUAUUGAUUUAGAUCCCGCAAGACAACCCACAUUGGCAAGUACGUUGUUGCGAGCGUGUCAAUGCAAACCCAACUCACCAGUUCUUGCUGUCGUCGAACAAGUUGCCGUAGCACGAGCCGCCGGGCGCGGGCAGGCAGAAGUCCGACAGGGGGGUGUCGUUCUUCAGCUCCAGGCAGAUAGUACCGCCAUUCGCCUGGUCCUUGCUCCAGUUCAGGGGGGUAGCCUUGACGGUCUGCUCGUCCACAGCGCCCCAGGUGGCGGACAGCCACUUGCCGGUGCCGGUCUUGGGCUGCACGUACACGCCGGUGAUGGCGCGGCGCUUCUUGUCGUCGGCGUAGAACUCGGCCUUGAGCAGGCUG
rnacentral:lncRNA from 1 species